rnacentral:tRNA from 1 species
CGAUCGUGCUGCGCGAGGCCGCGCACGCGCUGCGGCCGGGUGGGCGGCUGCUGAUCGUCGACCACGGUUCGACCGCGCCGUGGUCGU